rnacentral:tmRNA from 1 species
GGGGGUGACCUGGCUUCGACGGGUAUAGUGAUUGGUUGUCUGCGUGUCGGAGAUGCUUAGAUCUUCGUUAUCAAAACUUAAGCAAACUUUUUUAAUUGGCGAAAAUAACUACGCCCUCGCUGCCUAAAUUAAUUUAGGAUAAACAGUGCGCUGUCUUUCACUCCACUGUCUCCCGGGUGAUUGUCUCAGCGUCGAUAAAGGAGACUCGACUGGUUGACGCCUUUAAUUCCAGUUUAAACAAAAGGCUGGUGAUUCAUGUAGCUUGUCUGUCUGCAGCAUGGGUUACGAGAAACUAAUGACACGACUACACACGUAGAAGAUGACAGGUUGUUAUAUUCGGACGGGGGUUCGAUUCCCCCCACCUCCAU